UGGCUGUAGUUAUGUGAAUAUAAAUGAGAAGUUUACUGGCUGGUUUGACAUAUCUGCUUACUGAACUCAUAACAUCA